rnacentral:rRNA from 1 species
AGUGAACGCUGGCGGCAUGCUUAACACGUGCAAGUCGCACGCCCCGCAAGGGGAGUGGCGGACGGGUGAGUAACGCGUAGGAAUGUGUCCAGAGGUGGGGGACAACCCCGGGAAACUGGGGCUAAUACCGCAUAUGUCCUGAGGGACAAAGCAGUAAUGCGCCUUUGGAGCAGCCUGCGUCCGAUUAGGUAGUUGGUGGGGUAAUGGCCUACCAAGCCUGCGAUCGGUAGCUGGUCUGAGAGGAUGAUCAGCCACACUGGGACUGAGACACGGCCCAGACUCCUACGGGAGGCAGCAGUGGGGAAUAUUGGACAAUGGGCGCAAGCCUGAUCCAGCAAUGCCGCGUGGGUGAAGAAGGUCUUCGGAUCGUAAAGCCCUUUCGACAGGGACGAUGAUGACGGUACCUGUAGAAGAAGCCCCGGCUAACUUCGUGCCGGCCGCCGCCGUAAUAC